AGUAUUGAAAGAAACCAUUUUUGUCUAAUUUGACAUUAGAAAAAAAUGCAUGUACUAUAAUAUUAUAUUAGUGCCUUUUGUUAUUAUCUGUAUAUUUGUUUAAUUAUAAUUAUGUAAAAACAUACUUUGAUAUUUUUAUCAUUUUAUGUUACUGACUACAGUAGUGACACAAACAGAACACAGUACAGUCAUGUCACAUAACAUUUACAACUCUUGUAAGUCUUGUUUGUAUUCAAUGGAAUUACUUUCCUUACCAGGUAGGAGUCAGUGAAAGCAUUUUUUUAUAUUAAAUAUCUUUCGCCUCUUUUUAAAUAUGGACUAGAAAAAUUAUGCAAAAAAUGGUUUACAAAACAUUCGGAAAAAAAUCUACAAUUGUACUUAAUCUGAACAUGACAUGACCUGUGCGUAGGAGUUAUUUGGUAAGGUAUCUUUAAUGAGCGCAUUUUCUGCGCGGAGCUUCUCAGUUGCUGCAUUGCAGCAACAUUUCAUAACCUCAGAUCCCCUUUCAAAAUUCCAUUUUAUUUAGUUCCGCCCAUUGUUUUCUCGUUUAGGGCACACGCAUUUUUUCACUUGGGGACCAUAUGCCGCUUUUCAUGGAAUGGCACUAACGUGUCACAUUGAAGGUUCCAUGAUAACCGCCAUAUGACCACAUCUGCGGAUCUUUCAAAAUUCUAAAUUUUACCAGUUUAUGUUAAAUGAUGAAUUCUGCUUAAGCCGGUGCUAGGGGGCGUGAACGGUAACUUGCACUUUCCAGUACCGUCCAUGAACAGGCUCAAUCAAACCGAGCCUGCAACAUUUUCAAUUUUGCCGUGUUGGGCUUUCUUUAGGGAUUCUGUAUUUAUCUAUUUUGUAUUAAUAUACAGUAAGAAGACAUAUUCAGGCAUUGUUUGAAACAGGUUACCAGCACAACACAUGUCUUUAUUUACACGAAAGCAGUUGCUGGGUUCUAAGCGACCGCAGCAUCUCAGUUUGAAGAAUAAGUAGAGUUAUCCUAGUAUCCCGAGCCUCGGCGUAACCUAUUUUGCUAAAAUUUGCGUACCACCACAAAUAUUGACAGCUGGCUUUCAAACUUUGUACACUUGUUAACUACCAUGCCUGUAUAACGUAGUUUUGAUCCAGAAUUGAUUAAUAUAUAACACACAAAGCAUAAUAUCAUUUUAAUUUUCUUUACAAACAUCUCUAUCUAGAAAAAUUAAAACACGAGAUUUGUUUGUUUUCUCACAUGAAAUACAUUAAAGAAACUUAUUAUUGUUCCACAAACACGCUUUAAUUUCAGAUAAUUACAUUUUUCUGAAAUGUUAGAAUGCAUUUUGACAGUUGCGAUACAAAAUAAAGAAGCUUAAUAUCGUAAUUUAAAACAAUUUAGCCAAAUUUACUUUUUUAUUUUUCUUAUCAAAUGAAAACGUAUUUUUUUACGAAACAAUAAGCUCUUAUCGUUUCAAUCAUUUUAAUUCAGUUACGCUUGUAAAUUUACUAUUCUACUUGAUAUUAUUAUUGCAAUAAAUUGUUCAUAAUACAAUACAAAUAUUUUUCAGAGAAGUUAUUAACAACAUAUCUUCAUGAGACUUAGCAAUUAACAAUAUAAGAUAUGAGAUACAGUAAAACUUGUCAUAUGUGACUUUCCAUGGGACCAUAUUAACCUUUUCCCUUAUGUAAGUGUGUUUCGACGGCUUUUUGCCCCCCCCCCCCCUUUUUGAGGCACCAAACAGUGAAAAAAUGCCCUAUUUAGGCCCCAAACACUGUUUUCCGUUUGAGAAAUGUUGUUAAUUGAAGUGGAUGUGCCCCCUUCUGUUUGGGGGGUUUGAAGGGGGGGGGGGCGGAGUCCCCCUCAUCUCCAAGAAAAUUUUGGACAUGUGACAGGCUAAAAAUGGCCUCAGGUCAAUCUUAGGGUAAAUAGUAACCGACGCUGAAAAGCCUUUUACUCUAUCUCAAUUCAUUGAGAAGUUGCAGCACUUUGAAAUCAGUUUUGAUGGAAAAAAACAAUGCAAAAUAGUGAUUUUUGGCAAUUUUAAAUAAAGAUGUAUUUAUAGUUGAAAUGGAGCUUUGAAUGUAUUGUACAAAAUAGAUUUGUGAUCUUCGAUUUUAAUUCUAUUUUAAAUAAUUUUAGGUUUUUGAAAAGAGAAUAGCUAUACAGAAACAUACACCUGUUUUCUGAAUGAAUGCGACCACUUGGAAGAAAUCCUCAACUUGGAGAACACAGGUCGAUCAUUGGUAAACGCUUCACCCUUCAAUCUGUACGAAAUCUUAGAUGAAUGGGCUCGUCAAAGAUAUUCAAGUGUGCUUAAAUCAUGGAAGAAUUGAAAAAAUGGAGUGAGGAGCGGGAAAGAAAAAAAAAUUGAAAAUGAAAAAAAACAAAACAAACCUGUUUUUCGAGUAAGCAGAUAUGUACACCACCAUGCAGAUAAAGAUCUGUAUAAAAUAUCAGGCUCAAAGGCUUUUUGAUGAAUUCAUAUGACGUGGAGUGCUGGCACGCACGACUCAACUGACGCACCAAGAGAGGAAAAACAACUAGCCUUCUAUCUGUAAGUGGAACUGUUGUUCAGGUAAGCCAGAGAUCCCUAUGUAAACUUUUGAGAGAGGGGAAAUUGUGCCGUUAUCAACGACGUGAGGCUCGUUAGACGCAGUGGAAAUUGUUGAAGCUUUAGACAGAGUAUUCAGCCAAUGACAGAUAUGCCAGUAGUUUAUUGAAGGCAUGAAUGACGAUUGUAAGUAUCUACUGUACGUCAUCGUUUGGGGAUUGUUCAUGGUCAUUUGUUGUUGUAUUGUCUUUGUAUUGUAAAUGUUUCGUAAAUGUGAUUUUUUAUAUCUUAUGUGUCAUUAAAAUAUUUUGUCCAUAUGUUUUGUCAAGGUCAAUUAAGGUAAAUGUAUGCAUUCAUACAUGUAUGUAUUUAUGUGUAAGAUAAUGUAUGAAUUGUUUUAUUAGAAUAAUGUGCCAAUAACCUUCUUCGUCAUUUCUUUUUGAAUAUACUCCAUGUUUUCAUGCAGAGGCUAUUUAGUGGUCGUAUGUUGAUGUACUGUGUUUUUAUCGUAAAUGUAUGUAACUAUAUUAAUGUUGUAAAUAAUAUAUUUCGUCGAAAUUUGUAUAUACUUAAUAAUAAAUUGUUUGAAAACGUUGCUUGUUUGUUCUCUUUUAAUUUCCUGCAUUUAUACUGCAAACAACAAAAUCGGGAUAGAUGUAAAAUCGUUCCAUGGUGUGUAAUAUAUACUUAAGUUACUCUGUAUGUCCAGAAAUGUGGUCGGCAAUGUCCCUAAAUAUGGUCCAAAGUGUCCAAAAAUCUGGUCUGAAAUGUCCAUGGUCCGAAAUGUCCUAUAACCGAUUUGGCUAAUCUCGGGUGUUACAAUAUUAUAGCAAAAACAGAGGUCAAAACAACACCACCUGCUGGAGUAAGAAGAUGCAUGGACUCCAAUAAUUUGAACCCAUUAAGUCCUCACUUAUGAUCACGCAAGAUGAGUCACCAUGUUCACACUAAAGAAAUCAUAUAAACCCAUUGUGUAUAGACUAAAACAUUAAAUUUUGUAUUUUCAAAGAUUACUUUGUGCUUUUUACACAAAAAUAGUAAAAGUUUCCUGCUAAGGACAGAACUCGGAAGACCCAGUGCAUUUUGUUAUUAUUGUUUCACAUUUUUCCAUCAUAUAGGUGGCAAAGAAAAUAUCUAAUCCGGCGGUGUAUGUUUCUGAUUUGAAUGGCAAAUUUGUUGGUUCCAAUUUUAUAAAUGUAGAACGAUAUUUGAAAUGUUGUGCACGAUAGAUAAACUGAAUUAUUAUAAUGCUUAAAUUCCAAUACGUAAAAGUAAGUUUUAUUUUACUCAGUAAAAUAUUUUAGUGUGUAAUCAAAAUACGGGGAGUAAAACACCCGAGUCAAGUCUGAUUUUAUUUCAAGUUACAUUUGUAAAAACAUAUAUGUUUAAUACAGAUUCUAUUGUCAUAUCGACGACAAGUCGGGGCGUCCGUGGCCGACUGGUUAAGGUCGUUGACUUCAAACCACUUGCCCCUCACCGCUGUGGGUUCGAAUCCAAACAGGGACUUUGGAUUCUUUCAUGUGAGGAAGCUAUCCAGCUAGCUUACGGAACGUCGGUGGUUCUACUUAGUCGCCCGUUCGUGCCUGAAAUAAUGCACGGAAGGGCACAUGAGAUCGUCCUCCACCAGUAAAGCUGGAAUGUCGCGAUAUGACCUAUACUGUGUCGAUGUGACGUAAAACCCAAAACAAACGACGUCAAAUCCAACAUCAUUUAGCAGCUUAACGACAAAGGACAACCAAAAUCAAAACUUUAUUUUGUUACACAAACAAAACAACAAAUAAACACUAAAUAAACUAUAUAAGAAAAAACUACUAUAUAUUACACACGUUUAACACAAUAUUUCUUCUUCAGUGUCUUUACAUUUGUUCUGAAAAAACCUGUUUUUUUUUAGUUUAGGUUCAGACGUAAAACAAUGGUUGUCGUGGACUUCAAGGCACUUGCCCCUUACCGCUCUGAUCUACUUAAGAAAGCAAUGAAUUAUUUUUACCUAUUGAUAUUCAAAUAAAUUGAUUUCAUAGAACUGUAAAACCAAUAUUUAAUACGGCUGCGUGAUAUGGGUAUACGGUAAUAUUGAUAUAAUUAAACUUGUCCAACUUAAGUUUUUCAAACAUACUUUAAAUGUAAAACCCGGUACACCAAAUAAUAUUGUAUCUGGUGAAACAGGUGUUUUACCUAUAGCGAUUGAUAUUAAAACCAGAACAAAUUCCUUCUAGGCAAAAUUGGUGAUACCAUAUGAAAAUAAACUGUCGUCUGUUGUGUAUUUUUUAUUGUAAAGCCAUUUUAAACAUUGUGUAAAUAAUUCGAGAACACUUCUUCGAAUAAAAAAUGUUAGGCAAAUUUUAAUUAUUUUAAUUUAAGCUUGCAACAUUUUCAAUUUAAGCCUGCAACAUUUUCAAUCUUGUCGUGUUGGGCUUUCUUUGGGGAUUUUGUAUUUCUCUAUGUUGUAUACGAGACGAGGAUUUUAAUGAACUACAAUUCCAUUAAAUGGAAAAUUGUGAACAUGUUCUUUUUUCAAAUUCUUUUCAUCAAAAGUUAGAAUACACCAAACAUGAAUUAAUGAUAUACUUUAUAUACAAUGAUAAAGUCAUUAAUAUCAUGUUUUCUGACUGACACUAUUUUCGAAAUAAGAAUUAAAUUUUACGGCACACUAACACAGUCUGUCAUAUGUCGCCGAAAAUGCUCUGUUGAUUUAUGCAAACGUCAAUUGAUAUAUUCUUUAAAGCAACACCAGAGCACGUAACCUUCUCUACUUAAUGUAGCUAGGAUAUAUAUAAAAUCUUUAAAACACAUUUAGUCGCCUGGUCGCCUCUUACAAUAUCGCUGAAGUUGUGAAUGCCUCAACAAGUAAAGGCGCCCUCUCAGCCACAAUUGGAUUGUCAUUUUAAAUGUAGCUAUUAAGAAUACUUAGUUUUAUAUCCUCCUGGGACUUCCAAACUGUUAGAAAAACAAGAGGGCCAUGAUGGUCCUGAGUCGCUCACCAGAAACAACUUCAGUGUUGGAAUGUCAAUACAUAGUAUUUCCUAAUAUUUAAUUUAAGCAUAGAAUAUGUUUAAGCAACAUGAAAAUUUUAUACAUGUUUAUACGGACGGUUCAAAGGAAGGUUGCAAAGUAGGUGCAGCUGUGUAUGAAAAUGAUUUUACAUCUAUUAUGAGGUUACCAGAUAAUGCAUCAAUUUUUACUGCUGAAGCAAAAGCUAUAGAUUUAGCAUUGUCAUACAUAGAACAGCAUACCCAUGAUAAAUUUGUGAUAUUUUCUGACUCGCUUUCUGUUUUAAUAUCCAUUAAAAAUAAAAAAUCUGACAAUAUCAUGAUAAAGAAACUUCUUUUGCGAUUUCAUGAUAUACUUAAAAUAAAAUCUGUUAAAUUAUAUUGGAUUCCAAGUCAUGUAGGUAUACGAGGAAAUCAAAAAGUAGAUGCUUUAGCUAAACAAGCUUUAAAUUUUCAAAAAACUGACUUAUUGUUACCUGCUUGUGAUUUUAGAACGGCUAUAAAUAAACUCGUUUCAUCUAAAUGGAAAGCAAAUUGGGACAAUGCCGUCUUUAAUAAACUUCAUGAUAUAAACCCAUCUCUUGAUGUGUCACCAUCUCUGUCUUUGUCAAACCGCCAUGAUCAAACAGUUCUUAUUCGAUGCCGAAUUGGACACACUAAAGUUACCCAUACUUAUCUCCUCACGAAUGACAAUGCCCCUUUCUGUGUAGGCUGUAAUGUAAAAUGUAAGCAUUUUGUUCUGGAAUGUCAUGAUUUUUCACAGGCCCGUAACAGAUUUUAUAAUGUAAACUCACUCAAAGAACUCUUUAAUACAAUUCCAUCAAAAAACAUCAUCGAUUAUUUGAAAGAGAUAAACUUGUAUUCAAAGAUCUGAUUGGCUCUUUUUUAUUUUUUUACAACGUUUUACAUAAUCGUUUAAGCCUAUUUUAGC